UGUUUCUGGAAUGCAGGAUGACGACGGUGCUUAUUCACCCCUGGAGAGUAUAUUUGUGACAUAGCUGAAGGGAGCAGCUGGUUCUUGCUGAGGUCCCUGUAAAAUUCAUUGGCAAGGGAAGUAGCAGUGGAAAGCAAAUUUCACGCAGAAGUUUUGUUUCAAAGACUCCAUAGGUGACUGUGCUGUUUCCUGUAGAAAGAAAUAUUUAGGAAGAUAUUUGUGUCCAUAUAGAAAAUUAUCUUCAUGUCAAAUUACUGUAGGUUUUGUAUGUUUAACUAAAUAAUGAAUUGUCCUCUGAGAUUAAUUAAAAGGAUUAUAUCUGAGAUACAUGAGGAUCAGCACUGAGUGUCCUGCCGUGAAAGGGUGACACGGAGUUCACUUGGCAGCAGCACCAGCUCAACCUCUGUCCUUCCUUCAGCUGUGUCUUUCAGACCAGGUGAAAUGCUUCUGUAAAAUGACUGCUGAGGAUAUCUGCACUGCUGGAAGCUGGAAGCAUAAACUGGAUUAGGCAGCUCGUGGAACAAAGCUCAGGAGUCCGGAGGAACAUCUGCCCCCAGGGAGGGCAGGACUACCUGGAAGUAGCUUGGAAAUCUGUGCCAAGAACUUGAUCAAUAACUAAAAUGCUGGAAGAAAUGCAAAGAGCAAACUUCUGGACAGGCAAAAUGAAAAAAUGGAGAAGGAAAACAUCCAAUAAAUUCUCA